rnacentral:rRNA from 1 species
UACGUAGGGACCAAGCGUUGUCCGGAAUCAUUGGGCGUAAAGCGCGCGUAGGUGGCUUCGUAAGUCCGUUGUGAAAGUCAAAGGCUCAACCUUUGAAAGCCGAUGGAUACUGCGAAGCUAGAGUACGGAAGAGGCGAGUGGAAUUCCUGGUGUAGCGGUGGAAUGCGCAGAUAUCAGGAAGAACACCUAUGGCGAAGGCAGCUCUCUGGGACGGUACUGACGCUGAGACGCGAAAGCGUGGGGAGCGAACAGG